rnacentral:rRNA from 1 species
GUGCCAGCAGCCGCGGUAAUACGGAGGAUCCGAGCGUUAUCCGGAUUUAUUGGGUUUAAAGGGUGCUCAGGCGGGCGAUUAAGUCGGCGGUGAAAUUUUGCGGCUCAACCGUAAAAGUGCCUUCGAAACUGGUUGCCUUGAGUGUGGAUGAGGUAGGCGGAAUUUGUGGUGUAGCGGUGAAAUGCAUAGAUAUCACGAGGAACUCCGAUUGCGCAGGCAGCUUACUAAGCCAUAACUGACGCUCAAGCACGAAGGCGUGGGGAUCAAACAGGAUUAGAUACCCUGGUAGUCCACGCAGUAAACGAUGAUUACUGGCUGUUUGCGAUAUAAUGUAAGCGGCUGAGCGAAAGCGUUAAGUAAUCCACCUGGGGAGUACGUUCGCAAGAAUGAAACUCAAAGGAAUUGACGGGGGCCCGCACAAGCGGAGGAACAUGUGGUUUAAUUCGAUGAUACGCGAGGAACCUUACCCGGGCUUGAAAUGCAUCUGGCGUCUCCAGAGAUGGGGAUUUCCUUCGGGACAGAUGUGUAGGUGCUGCAUGGUUGUCGUCAGCUCGUGCCGUGAGGUGUCGGCUUAAGUGCCAUAACGAGCGCAACCCUCAUCGUUAGUUGCCAUCAGGUGAAGCUGGGGACUCUAACGAGACUGCCAUCGUAAGAUGCGAGGAAGGUGGGGAUGACGUCAAAUCAGCACGGCCCUUACGUCCGGGGCGACACACGUGUUACAAUGGGUGGUACAAAGGGCAGCUACAUGGCGACAUGAUGCCAAUCUCCAAAACCACUCUCAGUUCGGAUCGGAGUCUGCAACUCGACUCCGUGAAGCUGGAUUCGCUAGUAAUCGCGCAUCAGCCACGGCGCGGUGAAUACGUUCCCGGGCCCUUGUACCACACCGCCCGUCAAGCCAUGGAAGC